UGGGGAAUAUUGGACAAUGGGCGCAAGCCUGAUCCAGCCAUGCCGCGUGAGUGAAGAAGGCCCUCGGGUUGUAAAGCUCUUUUGUCCGGAAAGAAAAGCUUUCGGUUAAUACCCGGAAGUCCUGACGGUACCGGAAGAAUAAGCACCGGCUAACUUCGUGCCAGCAGCCGCGGUAAUACGAAGGGUGCAAGCGUUACUCGGAAUUACUGGGCGUAAAGCGUGCGUAGGUGGUUCGUUAAGUCUGAUGUGAAAGCCCUGGGCUCAACCUGGGAAUUGCAUUGGAUACUGGCGGGCUAGAGUGCGGUAGAGGAUGGCGGAAUUCCCGGUGUAGCAGUGAAAUGCGUAGAGAUCGGGAGGAACAUCCGUGGCGAAGGCGGCCAUCUGGACCAGCACUGACACUGAGGCACGAAAGCGUGGGGAGCAAACAGGAUUAGAUACCCUGGUAGUCCACGCCCUAAACGAUGCGAACUGGAUGUUGGGUGCAACUAGGCACUCAGUAUCGAAGCUAAC
rnacentral:rRNA from 1 species